CAGGUCUAGGAAGCGAGUUCAGCAAGCCCACGCCGGGCCUCCGGGACCCCGCCCCCUGACACCCCUGUCCCCAGGAGCGCAGAAUGGGUGGGCGGGUUGUGCUGCAGGGACUCCCAGAGGAUGUGUGAGGCAGAAGGGGGUGAGUGGUGGUGAUGGUGGUGGUGUAAAGGGGGUGGGGAGGACCCGGGAGUCUCACCUUCCUUCACACGGCCUGGCUGCAGGGGCGCAGAUGGGAUGGCCCAUGAGAGGGGCUGCAGGACGGUGACCCAGGGCUGGGGGCGUGUGUGGAGUCAGCCAGGUAGGGUGGGGAAAAUGGAUGGGGACACGUUGCGAGCCCCAACCCCUCCCGGCCAGUGGCCUCCCUAACCCCGCAGGGGCCGAGUUCUCCCCUCCCACCCAGUGGCCUGCCCUCUCCCUGCCACGCCUCUUCCUCUUGGUUUGGGGGUUUCUCUCCUCGCCACCCGCCCACACUCCCCUUCCAGGGUCUGGCCCCUCCAGAGACCGCUCCCCACUCUGUUGUCCCCCAAGCUAAGGCAGGAUCUGCUCCCGGGCUCAACCCUCACCGCCAGGGCUGUGCUCUGUUGUGGGGAGCGACCCCAGCUCCUGCCCGCCCCAGAGGCCAUGGCUGGCGUCGGUUGUCUUAGCAACGUCGAGGACGCCAAGGUCUCUUUCCACGCAUGCGUGGAGCCUCCCCCCCACCCCCCGCCCCGUGCUCCUGGGUGCUCCACCUCCCAAUUCCCUCCUCUCACCUCCUUCUCGGACCUGGGGUCCCUAGGAGCCCUCCCCCGCCACCAGGAGGCCCGUCUCUCCUCCCCGGGAUGUCCACCUCCCGUAGCGCUGCUCCGGGCUCCCCUCCCUAAAUCUUGCCAGUCCCCAGAACUGGGGCUGGGUUGGUGCGGGAGAGGGAGGUGUGCCAUGUUUGUUCAGUGAAUAAGCGAGUGGCUUGGGAGGCUUGGUUUUCGGGUCCCAGAGCCGGAUUGACUCAGCUGAUGAGUUCAGGAGAAACAGAGACUUUUGUAGGAGGAGGCUGGGGGCCAGGGCAGGCCAGUGAGGAGGGCAGAGGUUCUGCUCCCUGUCACUCUCUCAGACAGAGGGGCUUCCUGCCAGCAAAGACUGGUUUUUGGAGCAGACCAAGGAAGGAAACAUCGCCAGAAUUCACGGAAUUGGCUGGGGGCUCUGGCUGGAAACACGUGGCUGGCUUCUCCCCUCUCUCCUUGCAGCUGUUUGCCCCCUGUUUCCUGGCCAAGGUAGAAAGAGAACCACCCACUUUGCUCAUUGUCAACCAACCUUGACCAAGGAAGCGUCUGCAUGUGCAAGGUGCCAUCUGAAUGCUGGAGACAUAAGCAGUGUGGUCACUGGUCCCAGCAUUGUUGGGAAGUGAAAAUGUAUCCAUGAAAAGAGAGCAGAAAGUGCUCCGUGGAAUCUCCUUCCAAAGAAAUGACUGCUCCCCAAGACUUGUGUCUCGGUCGGCUUUUGGAGGAAUCCCAACGAAGACAUCAGCCUCCUACUCACUCCGCUUCUGCCUCCCGGCUACUGAAAACUCCUGGAAAAGGGACUUAAGGAGCUCUGUGAUAUGUUUGCAUUCAGAGAUGUGAAAUACUGAGAUAGACAUUGAAGAGAAUGGGUUUGGGUGUACAAUGGCCCAUAGAUUCAACUGAGGGUAGGCUGGAGGCAGGGAGUCCAGCAAAGAGGCCACCACCCUUGUCCCUCUAAGGAAGGCAGCAGGCUAGUGGUACUGUAGGAAACAGGAAGAUGUGAUCAUUCCAGAGCCUCAGAAGUAAAAGCACGUGUUAACCAUAUACGAAACUUGUAUUUUAAAAAACAAGGCUGAGAAAAGCUAUCUGGCUUGUGGUAUUCAAUUUGAUUUCUUUGUCAAAACAAACGGAAGCAUUUGCCAUGAAGAAAGGAAAGCCACACACUUACCCGCCUGAGCUGGUGGAAGAUCUCAUAUCAGCGCAACAGAACAGCGGGCAACUCGCUCCCUGCUCUUUGCCUUGCCAGCUGUUCUUUUUCUUUGAGACACUGAACACUCCACCUGUUUCCUUUUUAUCUUCUUUUCAAUAGGAACUCUUGUUGUCAUCUUUGGAUUAUUUUGUUUUUCAGAUUUUUUUUUGUAUCCCAAGACAGUAUGUACUAAAGUUCCUCCCCAUUGCCUUGGUAAAUCUAUUUUUGGGAAUAAGCUAAGCCUAGGUAAAUAUUUAUACUCAAACGUGUUCAUCAUAGUCUUAUUUUUAAAGGUUAAAAAUUGAACAUUUGGCUGGGCCUGGUGGUCCACACCUGUAAUCACAGCACUUUGGGAGGCUGAAGCAGGUGGAUCACUUAAGGUCAGGAGUUCAAGACCAGCCUGGCCAACAUGGUGAAACCCCAUCUCUAUUAAAAAUGCAAAAAUUAGUCGGGCGUGGUGGCUCUCGCCUGUAAUCUCAGCUACUAGGGAGCUUGAGGCAGGAGAAUUGCUUGAACCUGGGAGGUAGAGGUUGCAGUGAGCCAAGGUGGCGCCAUUGCACUACAGCCUGGGCGACAGAGACUCCGUCUCAGAAAAAGAAAAAAAAUCGAACAUUACCCAAUGUCCAGUAAUAGAGGGAUAGUUGAAUGAAUGAAGUCAGUUCACUCAAAGGAAUAUUGUGUCCUUAUUAGAAAUCACGGAACUGCGAAAAUAAGCUACCUCCUCUUUUCCUCAGAUGAAAAUGGAGAGAAAAGGGCCCUUUCUAAGAAUCCAAGUGGAAAUGUUAAAGCUACUUUUGGUACAUUUGAGGAAGCGUUGUUCAGAGAGUGACCCCAGGAAAUCAGCCCUUUCCUUGGGCCCAGUUUCUAAAGAGACACAAAUUAGAAGGAGCUGCAAUGUGAAAGUUGACGGAGAGGAAGUAAACUUUGCUCUACAGAA